rnacentral:rRNA from 1 species
AUAAGGGCGUACGGUGGAUGCCUAGACACCAAACAACGAUGUAGGACGUAGUAGUCUGCGAUAAGCUUCGGCGAGGUGACAAACAACCUUUGACCCGGAGAUUUCCGAAUGGGGGAACCCAACUUGAGUAAUAUUGAGUUAUCACAUAUUGAAUAUAUAGAUAUGUGAGGAAGACCUAGCGAAGUGAAACAUCUCAGUAGCUAGAGGAAAAGAGAACAUUAAAAAGCUCCAUCUUCGGAUGGAGUGUGAUUCCCCUAGUAGCGGCGAGCGAACGGGGAGAAGCCCAAACCCACUCUAUGAAACUUUAAGAUUUCGAGUGUCUUCGGACACGAGAAUAUUGAAGCGAAAGGUCAGGCCCUUGUAGAGUGAGGGGUUGUAGGAUGCAACAUCAGCUACCUGAUAUGCUGGUUAUGUGUGAGAUUUAUAGCUGAAAAUUUCUGGAAAGAAAUUCCAUAGAGGGUGAUAGACCCGUAAGCGAAAUAUUUCUUGCAUGUAAGUUUGUACUCCUGAGUACGGCGGGACACGUGAAAUCCUGUCGGAAUCUACCGUGACUAUGCGGUAAGGCUAAAUAUGUUUGGUGAUCGAUAGUGAACUAGUACCAUGAGGGAAAGGUGAAAAGCAGCCUGGAAAGGCGGUGAAAUAGAUCCUGAAACCGUACGCUUACAAAGAGCUAGAGCCCUAGUCACCUUCGGGUGGCAGGGUCAUAGUGUUCCUAUUGAAGAAUGAGCCUGCGAGUUACUAGCUAUGGCAAGCUUAAGGGCCUUUGGUCCGAAUGCAUAGGGAAACCGAGUCUUAAUAGGGCGAAUAAGUCGUAGUUAGUAGACCCGAAACCGAGUGAGCAAUCCAUGACCAGGUUGAACUUCCAUGAUAAAUGGAAGGGAGGACCGAACACACGCGCCGUGCAACACGCGGUGAUGAGUUGUGGAUAGCGGAGAAAUUCUAAUCGAACUCGGUAAUAGCUGGUUCUCCUCGAAAUAGCUUUACGGCUAGCUGUAUAUGUUCCUACUGGGGGUAGAGCACUGGAUGUGGAUGGGGCGGUUUACUGUACCCACUACAAUCAAACUCCGAAUACCAGUAGUCAAUAGUAUGCAAGUUAGACUAUGGGGGCUAAGCUUCAUAGUCGAAAGGGAAACAGCCCAGAUCGCAAAUUAAGGUCCCUAAAUCAAUACUAAGUGUAAAAGGUGGUGAUAAUUCUCAUACAACCAGGAGGUUGGCUUAGAAGCAGCCAUCCUUUAAAGAAAGCGUAAUAGCUCACUGGUCAAGAGUUUUUGCACCGACAAUGUACCGGGGCUAAGUAUUGUACCGAAAUUGCGAAUGUGUAAUCACUGAGGUGAUUAUAUGUGGUAGAGGAGCGUUCCUAUUGCACUGAAGUCGGACCCGUGAGGGCCGGUGGAGCGAUGGGAAGUGAGAAUGCAGGCACUAGUAGCAAGAAUGAAGGUGAGAAUCCUUCACGCCGAAAAUCCAAGGUUUCCAGGGCAACGAGAAUCGUCCCUGGGUUAGUCGAUCCUAAGGUGAGGCCGAAAGGCGUAGUCGAUGGAAGAGCAGGUUAAUAUUCCUGCACUUGGUAUAGUUUGUUUAUGUAUGUGCAUAUCAAAGGUCUGAACGUUGUAUGGCUACACGUUUCGCAAGAUAGAGGCAGAGUCUCCGGACAAAGCCGAUUCAGAUUAGAGAUGUGCCUAGAAAAGUACAUAAACGCUAGGCUAUAUCAAUCCGUACCGCAAACCGACACAGGUGGAUAGGUCGAGAAGACCAAGGCGCACGAGAGAAACAUUGGUUAAGGAACUCGGCAAAACAGCGGCCGUAACUUCGGGAUAAGGCCUCCCCAACUUCGGUUGGGGUCAACAAAAGAUAUCACGCGACUGUUUACCAAAAACACAGCUCCCUGCUAAAUCGUAAGAUGAUGUAUAGGGGGUGAUGCCUGGCCAGUGUCAGAACGUUAAGGGGAUGGGUUAUUUCUUCGGAAAGAAGCUUUGAACUGAAGCGCUGAUGAACGCCGGCGGUAACUAUAACCGUCCUAAGGUAGCGAAAUUCCUUGUCGGGUGAGUUCCGACCCGCACGAAUGGCAUAACGGUGUGAUAACUGUCUUAACCAUGUACUCGGCGAAAAUGCAGUUGUCGUGAAGAUGCGACAUUCCCGCAGCAAGACGAAAAGACCCCAUGAAGCUUUACUACAGUUUGAUACUGAUACAGUGCUUCAUAUGUUCAGCAUAGGUGGGAGCCCUCGGGCACCAAUGAGAUACCACCCUUAUGCUGUACUGUAUCUAACCAUUUUGGCUGAAUCGUCUUAAUGGGACAGUAUCUGAUGGGUAGUUUAACUGGGGCGGUUGCCUCCUAAACAGUAACGGAGGCGUUUACAAAGGUUGGCUUGGACCGGAUGGAAAUCGGUCUGGACGUGCAAACGCAUAAGCCAGCUUUACUGCAAGGGCUAUCACCCGCGCAGUUACGAAAGUAGAAGUUAGUGAUCCGACCGUGGGACAUAGGACCGCGGAAGCUCAACAGAUAAAAGUUACUCUGGGGAUAACAGGCUGAUCCUGCCUAAGCGUCCAUAGCGACGGCAGGGUUUGGCACCUCGAUGUCGGCUCGUCGCAUCCUGGGGGUGAAGAAGCUCCCAAGGGUUAGGCUGUUCGCCUAUUAAAGCGGCACGCGAGCUGGGUUCAGAACGUCGUGAGACAGUUCGGUCUCCUAUCUGCUGUGGGCGUCGAAUAUUGAAUGGGCUCAUCCCUAGUACGAGAGGACCGGGAUGGACGAACCUCUUGUGUACCAGUUGUCCUGCCAAGGGCAUAGCUGGGUAGCGAAGUUCGGUUUGGAUAAGCGCUGAAAGCAUCUAAGCGCGAAGCCGUCCAUGAGAUUAAUAUUCAUUUGAGGUACCUUCGAGACGAGGAGGUUGAUAGGCACUAGGUGUAAGCUCUAACGAGUGUAGCCGAGGUGUACUAAUUUACCAAGCGCACUGUGA